GAUGAACGCUGGCGGCGUGCCUAAUACAUGCAAGUCGAACGGGAAGAGAUGAAGAGCUUGCUCUUUAUCGAAUCCAGUGGCAAACGGGUGAGUAACACGUAAACAACCUGCCUUCAGGAUGGGGACAACAGACGGAAACGACUGCUAAUACCGAAUACGUUCCACGGGCCGCAUGACCUGUGGAAGAAAGGGUAGCCUCUACCUGUAAGCUAUCGCCUGAAGAGGGGUUUGCGUCUGAUUAGGCAGUUGGUGGGGUAACGGCUCACCAAACCAACGAUCAGUAGCCGGUCUGAGAGGAUGAACGGCCACACUGGAACUGAGACACGGUCCAGACUCCUACGGGAGGCAGCAGUGGGGAAUCUUCCGCAAUGGACGAAAGUCUGACGGAGCAACGCCGCGUGAGUGAAGACGGCCUUCGGGUUGUAAAGCUCUGUGAUCCGGGACGAAAGAGCCUUGGGUAAAUAGCCUAAGGAAGUGACGGUACCGGAAAAGCAAGCCACGGCUAACUACGUGCCAGCAGCCGCGGUAAUACGUAGGUGGCAAGCGUUGUCCGGAAUUAUUGGGCGUAAAGCGCGCGCAGGCGGCUUCCUAAGUCCACCUUAAAAGUGCGGGGCUUAACCCCGUGAUGGGAUGGAAACUGGGAAGCUGGAGUAUCGGAGAGGAAAGUGGAAUUCCUAGUGUAGCGGUGAAAUGCGUAGAGAUUAGGAAGAACACCGGUGGCGAAGGCGACUUUCUGGACGAAAACUGACGCUGAGGCGCGAAAGCGUGGGGAGCAAACAGGAUUAGAUACCCUGGUAGUCCACGCCGUAAACGAUGGAUACUAGGUGUAGGAGGUAUCGACCCCUUCUGUGCCGGAGUUAACGCAAUAAGUAUCCCGCCUGGGAAGUACGAUCGCAAGAUUAAAACUCAAAGGAAUUGACGGGGACCCGCACAAGCAGCGGAGCAUGUGGUUUAAUUCGAUGCAACGCGAAGAACCUUACCAGGGCUUGACAUGUGGGUGAAAGGUAUAGAGAUAUACCCCUCUCUUUAUGAGACAUCCAUACAGGUGGUGCAUGGUUGUCGUCAGCUCGUGUCGUGAGAUGUUGGGUUAAGUCCCGCAACGAGCGCAACCCCUAUACUUAGUUACCAGCGAAUGAUGUCGGGGACUCUAAGUAGACUGCCGAUGACAAAUCGGAGGAAGGUGGGGAUGACGUCAAAUCAUCAUGCCCUUUAUGUCCUGGGCUACACACGUGCUACAAUGGUUGGUACAGAGGGAAGCUAUAUAGUGAUAUAAUGCAAAACUCCAAAGCCAAUCCCAGUUCGGAUUGUAGGCUGCAACUCGCCUACAUGAAGUCGGAGUCGCUAGUAAUCGCAGAUCAGCAACGCUGCGGUGAAUACGUUCCCGGGCCU
rnacentral:rRNA from 1 species